AGCCCUCAGCCUCCUCUCCUCCUCCGACCGCCGCCCUCAGCCUCCUCUCCUGCCGACGCCGCCCUCAGCCUCCUCUCCUCCUCCGACCGCUGCCCUCAGUCUCCAUCUCCACCCAGGAUCCAAGAACCAAAGAAAUGGCAAAAAGGAUUAGGAUUAAUUGGAAGCAAGAAGGUGUUGAAAAAACCUUUCUUGAAGCAUGUGUUCAUGAAAUAACCGUUAAUGGACGUGAAGGAAGCAGUCUUAAACAAGCGUCAUGGAAAUGCAAUAUUUAUGAUCAGUUAUUUAUGGACUAUGAUGAGAACACGAUGUUUCAUGAAAUGCAAAGUGGGGAAAAUGAUGGCCUGCUAGUUCAAGACAUAGAGUGGGGUUCACAAGGUAUUGACUACAUGACUUCUUUACGUAACCAGAUUGCUAAUCAGUUGCUUUCGAAUGAAUCAAAUUAAAAUUGUAUGUAGAGUUGUGUUAUUUGUAUUUGGAUUUCGUAUGUUGUGUUGUUUUGUAUUUGGAUUUAAAGGAUUGAUGUGUAAUUUGGAUUUUCUA